rnacentral:rRNA from 1 species
UAGUCAUAUGCUUGUCUCAAAGAUUAAGCCAUGCAUGUCUAAGCACAAGCCGAUUAAUGGUGAAGCCGCGAAUGGCUCAUUACAACAGCCAUAGUUUCUUAGAUCUUACUUUUCUACUUGGAUAACUGUGGUAAUUCUAGAGCUAAUACACGCAAACAAGCUCAGACCUUACGGAAUGAGCGCAUUUAUUAGAACAAAAACCAAUCGGGCUUCGGCCCGUCAUUUGGUGAAUCUGAAUAACUUUGCUGAUCGCACGGUCAUCGUACCGGCGACGUAUCUUUCAAAUGUCUGCCUUAUCAACUUUCGAUGGUAGUUUAUGCGCCUACCAUGGUUGUAACGGGUAACGGAGAAUAAGGGUUCGACUCCGGAGAGGGAGCCUGAGAAACGGCUACCACAUCCAAGGAAGGCAGCAGGCACGCAAAUUACCCACUCCCGGCACGGGGAGGUAGUGACGAAAAAUAACGAGACGGCUCGCUAUGCGGUCCGUCAUCGGAAUGGGUACAAUUUAAAUCCUUUAACGAGGAUCUAUU